UUCAGAGCAGCUGUACUUAAGGCUUGGAAGAAAUCAGCAGCGAGGGACAGCAAAAGAGGCUUUGGCUGCGCUGCUGCGUGAGGAACAAAAAGCUGAGCAGGGACCUGGAGCUGCAGAGGAGAAGCUGUUUGGCAGCCGGACUUAAUGUGAUGCAAAUGCAGCGAGCCCCGGGAGCAGCUGAGCUCCUUCCAGCCCUUCUCGGAGCUGCUGCAUUGAUUCCUUGACAGGAGCUCCCCUGGAAAGCCACCAAAAGAAGAGCUUCUGCAAAGAGGUUUUUUUCCUCUCCUCCAUGUCUGGUUUGACCAAAAAGGUUUAUUGGUGGGAAGGGGCUGGGGGAAGCUAACGUGAGCUGGCGAGGCAGAGACGCACGCUCGGGUGGAGGAACCCAACGCGGCUUGGCAGGAGCCCUGCGAGCACCACGGGGCUGGAGCUCUGCAGCCCCUCCCUGCCAGCCCCACGCCAAUAAUUAGCCAUAAAUAAUCCCCGAAGCUCCUCGCAGCAGGUUUAGCCUCUCUGAGCGUCAGCAGCCAUGAAGCCAGGCAUGGAAAGCAGCCUGGGAGCCAAGGCAGAAGUCGAGUGCCCAGGGAGCCGCUGCCAGCAUAAUUCCUCCUUGUCACUCGCCGCGAGGAGCCGCAUUCCAGCGCCGGCAGCCGAGGCAGACUUGCCAGCCAGACCUCUUCCAGGU